CGACGGGGGCCCGCACAAGCGGUGGAGUAUGUGUUUAAUUCGAUGCAACGCGAAGAACCUUACCUGGUCUUGACAUCCCGGAGACCCUUAGGAAACUAGGGGGUGCUUCCAUCUGGAAGAAUCUGGAGACAGGUGCUGCAUGGCUGUCGUCAGCUCGUGUCGUGAGAUGUUGGGUUAAGUCCCGCAACGAGCGCAACCCUUGCCUUUAGUUGCCAGCAGUUCGGCUGGGCACUCUAAAGGGACUGCCGGUGUUAAACCGGAGGAAGGUGGGGAUGACGUCAAGUCCUCAUGGCCUUUAUGACCAGGGCUACACACGUACUACAAUGGCCGAUACAAAGGGCAGCGACACUGCGAGGUGAAGCCAAUCCCGUAAAAUCGGUCUCAGUCCGGAUUGGAGUCUGCAACUCGACUCCAUGAAGUUGGAAUCGCUAGUAAUCGUGGAUCAGCAUGCCACGGUGAAUACGUUCCCGGGCCUU
rnacentral:rRNA from 1 species